rnacentral:rRNA from 1 species
GAGUUUGAUCCUGGCUCAGAAUCAACGCUGGCGGCGUGCCUCAGACAUGCAAGUCGAACGAUUAAACUUCUCUUCGGAGAAGAUAUAAAGUGGCGCACGGGUGAGUAACACGUAGGUAAUGUACCUUUGGGUGGGGAAUAACUUAGGGAAACUUAAGCUAAUACCGCAUAAUGCAGCGGCUCCUUCGGGAGACAGUUGUUAAAGAUUUAUCGCCUAAAGAGCAGCCUGCGGCAGAUUAGCUAGUUGGUAAGGUAACGGCUUACCAAGGCUACGAUCUGUAUCCGACCUGAGAGGGUGGUCGGACACACUGACACUGAAUAACGGGUCAGACUCCUACGGGAGGCAGCAGUCGGGAAUUUUGGGCAAUGGGCGAAAGCCUGACCCAGCAACGCCGCGUGAAGGAUGAAGUCUUUCGGGAUGUAAACUUCGUAAGAAUAGGAAGAAUAAAUGACGGUACUAUUUGUAAGGUCCGGCUAACUACGUGCCAGCAGCCGCGGUAAUACGUAGGGACCAAGCGUUGUUCGGAUUUACUGGGCGUAAAGGGCGCGUAGGCGGCAAUUCAAGUCAGUUGUGAAAUCUCCGAGCUUAACUCGGAACGGUCAACUGAUACUGCUUUGCUAGAGUACAGAAGGGGCAAUCGGAAUUCUUGGUGUAGCGGUGAAAUGCGUAGAUAUCAAGAGGAACACCUGAGGUGAAGACGGGUUGCUGGGCUGAUACUGACGCUGAGGCGCGAAAGCUAGGGUAGCAAACGGGAUUAGAUACCCCGGUAGUCCUAGCCCUAAACGAUGAAUACUUGGUGUCUGGAGUUUUAUUCUCCGGGUGCCGUCGCUAACGUUUUUAGUAUUCCGCCUGGGGAGUACGCACGCAAGUGUGAAACUCAAAGGAAUUGACGGGGACCCGCACAAGCGGUGGAGCAUGUGGUUUAAUUCGACGCAACGCGAAGAACCUUACCUGAACUAGAAUGCGAGGGAGGACUACCUAAUAGUAGUCGUCGGGCAACCGACCCAAAGCAAGGUGCUGCAUGGCUGUCGUCAGCUCGUGUCGUGAGAUGUUGGGUUAAGUCCCGCAACGAGCGCAACCC